AAUAAGAAAAAAGGAGCAUAGAAGCAUUUCAAAAUUUCUUCUACUUAAGAUAGUAUCAUAUCAUGCAUUUCUGGUGGCCUCUGACAUAAUAAUGCACCCAGGAGAUACUCAUCAGGAUCUGUUCAGAUAUGACCAGAUUAAUUUCCCUUCUGAAAUCCUUUGGGGCAUCCUGUUUGCAGUCUUCCUGUUUUCUUUGCAGGCUUCUCUUGGUUUUUCAGUCCUUUUAAUGAUGGUACUCACUGGGGUUUGUCCGAGGGCUGCCUGGCCCUGCUCCGCAGGCUCCCCGGGCUUUUCUCUCACUCCCGUAGCUGGGGCUACCCACCCUCCCUCCCUCCUCUACACCUGUUAAAUGCCUAGCCUUUGCCAGGCACUCUGCUAUCUUAUGAUGAACAACAUAAACAUUGUUCCUGCUGCCAGUGGAAUUUAUAUACUGAAGAGGAAAGAGAAAAUAACAAGUAACUAAGCAAAGAAUAGAAUUAUAAGUUGUAAUAUGCUCUUUGAAGGAGGUAAACAGAAUAGCUGGGGCAGUGACUUUAGACUGGGAAGGCGGGCAGUGUCUCCCAGGAGACCUGGACCUAAAUGGUAAGAAUGAAUCACAGAAAGAGGAGGAGGAGAGAGAGAUUCUCGGUGGAGGAAAUGACAGGACAGAUACCCCAGGUGGAAGGAGCUUGGUUGUGCUCAUGGAAAUGAAAGACUGGAGGGGCUGUAGCAAAGUAAGAAAAGAGGAGAAAGGCAGGAGUCACCCUGGAGACCUGGCAGGGACUGGGUCACGCAGAGCCUUCCAGGCCAUGAAUGGUGAAGAGAGCCCUAGAGUGGAAUUGGUGUGAUGGGGUGAAAGACUCGAGGUUUCCUGCCUUGCUAAAUGGUGGACAGUGAAAGUGUUGACUAUGGUGAGGACGGCAGAAACGAAGAGAAGGGAAGCACAAAACACAGUCCCCCACUACCACAAAUACACAGUUGAGUCUUCCGCGUUUGGGGAAAUCACAGGGGUCAGAACACCUGGAGUGCAAUGGAUGAGCGUCUCCCUGGGAAAACCAUCUCCACGAUCACGGUAUCUCCCCUGCCAGGGAAGUAUUGGUCCCUAUUUUUUUUUAAUAGUUAAGUAAAACAAAAAAAUCAGCUUUAUUAAGGGAUAAAUAAAAAUUGCAUAUAUUUAAGA